rnacentral:rRNA from 1 species
CAAUAGCGUAUAUUAAAGUUGUUGCAGUUAAAAAGCUCGUAGUUGGAUUUCUGGUGGGAGCGAUCGGUCUGGCGCUUAGCGCGAGUACUUGCAUCGUCUCCGGCCAUCCUUGGGGAGAGUCUGUCUGGCAUUAGGUUGUCGGGCAGAGGAUCCUCAUCGUUUACUGUGAAAAAAUUAGAGUGUUCAAAGCAGGCUUAUGCCGUUGAAUAUAUUAGCAUGGAAUAAUAAGAUAGGACUUUGGUACUAUUUUGUUGGUUUGCGCACCAAAGUAAUGAUUAAUAGGGACAGUUGGGGGUAUUCGUAUUCCGUUGUCAGAGGUGAAAUUCGUGGAUUUACGGAAGACGAACUACUGCGAAAGCAUUUACCAAGGAUGUUUUCAUUAA